rnacentral:rRNA from 1 species
GCCAAUGGCACUGCCCGGUAGCUAAAUGCGGAAGAGAUAAGUGCUGAAAGCAUCUAAGCACGAAACUUGCCCCGAGAUGAGUUCUCCCUGACUCCUUGAGAGUCCUGAAGGAACGUUGAAGACGACGACGUUGAUAGGCCGGGUGUGUAAGCGCAGCGAUGCGUUGAGCUAACCGGUACUAAUGAACCGUGAGGCUUAACCUUACAACGCCGAAG